rnacentral:lncRNA from 1 species
GCAGCAUAUGGAAGUUCCCAUGCUAGGUGUCGAAUUAGAGCUGUAGCUGCCAGCCUACACCACAGCCAGUGCAGUGCAGGAUCCAAGUCACAUCUGUGAUCUACACUACAGUUCAUGGCAAUGGCAGAUCCUUAACCCAAUGAGUGAGGCCAGGGAUUAAACCCUAAGGCAGCUACCAAGUGGACACCAAUUUAACUUAUAUAUUUCUAGGAGAUGAAUUAAUAAGUUCCAGGAAGGGCUUCUACCUAGGGGACUAAUGCUAAGAACUGCUAAGCCCUUUGGGAGCCUUUCCAAUACCCCUCAAAUAGUGGCAUUAAGAGCAUUCAUUUGAGCAGACUAAAAAAUCAUUAAUCCCAGAGUUGUCAUAAUAUGGAUUGUCUGAGGUUGGACUGAGUGAGAUAUUUUUGUAUGCAAAGAGAAGAUGAAAAAAAUGACUUCUAAAUUUCCACUCAAUCCUGAAAUGCAAUUCGGUUACUUAAAUAGUUAUUUUACUGAGUAUAAAAUUGAGUCAGGAAAAUGAAGAUUUUCUUUAGAGUCUUGUUUAUGCCUAUUGACUUGGUGAAACUAAUAAUAGCUUACCCUUUGACUUAAAAAGUGUACAUCAUCACCAGAGAAUACUAAUUCCUUUUGAAAGUGAUAUGUUUCCAGAAGUCUGUCAACCAUCUUCAUGGAGACUAACAAGCUGGAUUCCAUACCUGGAAAGAAUAAUCUCUUUGGUUUUCCUACUAAAGUAUCAUCCAUUGUUUCUCUCAGUUAAAACCCUAAAUCUGCCAGGUUGAUGUGCUGUAUACAUUCUACAUAGGUAAGAGUAAGAGAUUAAGAGAAUCAUUUCUAAAACCAAAGGAUUUAAGCAUUUAUCUGAACACUGGUUGUUAAAAAUUAUAAUUGGGGAAUCGUACCUAAAUUCAAUCCCUUACCUUCUAGUCCCACAGUUACUACCCUUCAUUAGAACUUCAUUUCUUCUUGCUGAAUUGUAAUUAAAAUGUUUAAACGCUAAUUCUCAUCCAGGUCUUAGCCAACAAUCAUAGUUUGACUGAAGAUUUAGAAAACAGACUUGCCAAAUGUGCAGAUGACCAGAAGUUAUGAUUAAAAUAUAAUUUGUUGGAUAAGAGGAUAAAGAGUCUUUAAGUUCUUAAUGGGCUGAAACAAAAGCCCAAGAAAUGAAAAAUACGGUUUAAUAUAGAUAAAUUGAAAGUCCUACUUUUAGCUUAAAAUGAAACAAACAAACAAAAAGGAUAUAUGAGGAAGGACAGGUGUAAAAUUGUUCACAUAAAGAAACCUGGGGAAUUAUUUGGGAUGGUGUGAUCCAAUAGCAUGCUAAUGCUACUAAGAAAGUAUAAUAUUUAGACUGAAAUAAAAUAGAAUGUCCAUACCAGUGAACAACAGAGCCUCAUGAUUUUCUGUGUUGUUAGGACUGCAUGUGGUACUGUGUUCAGUUCUACAAUGAAAGGUAAAAUAGAGCAAAGUCUAUUCAGAAAAAAUGAAGACACAACAAAUAACUGGGCAAACAAGAAAUGUUAGGGAAAUAAAAUAACACUGCAAUAAUAACAACAACACUAUAAUACUGCAAAAGUGAUAAAGUAGCACAUUCUAUGUUCUGGAGUGUGCUGGAGACCCUAAACAAGUUGUCUGCUUUGACUCUGCAUAAAUCCUAGGAGGUAAUACUAUUAGCUCCUUUUUUCAGAUGAAGAAUCUGAUGCUCAAAGAAAGUAAGGUGUCUAAGAUUACUUUACACUAAAUAUUUGAAGAUAUCUGUGUAAAACAGUGAAAGACUUGUUCUUUCCAAAGGGAAAUGAAUGGAAGCUACAACUUGAUACAAAUGAAAAGUCCUAAUUUCAUAACUGCAUUAGAAUGGAAUUGUCUGCCUGCCUACUAGCAAGUUCUUAUGAUCAAGCUGAAACAAACUGUAAGGACAGAAUUAUCAGGGAAAAAAGCAUUCCUGUCAUGGCUAAGUGGGGUAGGUAACCUCCAGGUUCCCUUCCAAUAUUAAAGUCUAUGAUUCUGAUUCUGAGAAAUGGAGUAUUUUUUGCCUUGGCAUUGUACACUCUUUAGGUCAAAUCAAAUUAAAUCAAAUUGAAAGAUUCAUUCAAAUCAGCUGUUAUGAUGAACUUAGGUCUCUUCAAUUAAAAUAGCUGUUCCAGUUAAUCUCUGUAAACAUAUCUGUUAAUCUAUUUCUGUGAUUGAUCACAUUUCACCUGUGUUUUCUUCUUUUUUUCUUUCACAGCUGCAUGCGCAGCAUAUGAAGUUCUCAGGCUAGUGGUCAAAUCAGAGCUGUAGCUGAGGCCUACGCCACAGCCAUGGCUACACUGGGUCCAAGCCGCAUCUACAAUCUACAUGGCAGCAUGCAGGAACACCAGAUCCUUAACUCACUGAACGAGGCAAAGGAUCAAAUCCACAUCCUCACAGAGACAAAAUGUCAAGUCCUUAACCCACUGAGCCACAAUGAGAACUCCUGAGUUUUUUAUGUUUAAAGCAAUUUUAUGAAUAUCACUUAUACCGUAGUAGCAAGAAUGAUAACAAGGUCUUUAUCCAUAGGUCACAGAACAGUUACUUUAAAAUCUCUCACUGUCCAUACCAGACAUAAGCAGAAGUUGAUGUUGGUGAAUGGGAUAAGCCUUGAACAAGCUACUUCUGAAUAUUUACAAGCGUCAUAACUGACAGAAAAUCUCAGCCAUUUUGGCAAUGGAAAAUAAGAGUCUUAUACUAUUUCUUGAACCUGCAUGUUCCCUGAAAUGUAAACAAUUCAAAUCCUCUAUGAGGCCUGUGGUAAGUGGAGAUCAAAUUACAAGGUGUUCAGGAGAGAAUGUUACCUGUUGAACUAGCCCACAAGUGCUUUGUAUGCACAAGUAGUUUCCUUCCCCUCCCCCUUGUUUUUGUCAGUUGUUUCAGAGUCAAAUUCAGGAGGUUAAAAAAGAAAGAAUAGUAACCACGGGUUGUGUGCAUGAACAAGACAGAAACUGGGCAAACCUAAAGGGCAAACAAGACAGAAACUUGUUACUUGGGAGAGGAGAACAACAAAACUCCAGGGUUUCCCUGAUACAAAUACAGAGACAGGCACAAAACAGACAAAUUGGAUGCACUUAUUUAGUUCUUUUCUUUUACUUCUAAGCGGGGGAGAAGGGCAGGAAAUUUCUAUCAUGUCAGUAACAUGUAAGAAGCUAAACAGUUCAAAUCCUAACCAAGUCCAGUCCUUUAUAUUAAAUUCCAUCUUUGUCUCUCCUGUAUUUCUUCUUCUCCUGUAUUCUCUUCUGUAUUUCUUCUUGUCUCUCUCUGUAUUUUAAGUUAAUAUGUUAACUUAAAAUUAUUUGUGUGUGCAUUUGAUUAAUAUCCAUUUCCUCACUAGAAUGUACACCUAUGAGGGUAGGUAUAAUGUCUAUUUUUGCUCACCAUUGUCCCCAGAGUUUAAGCACAGUGCUGGCACACAUGAUACCAAUCAAUAAAUAUUCAGUGAAUGAACAAAUUAAUGGAUGCAGCCUUACAGAGCGUAUUUUGAUUAAUUGUAAGAUUUCUAAACAAUUUACACAAGUUUCAGGACAGACCUUAUUAUAUACAAAGAAUAUCUUUCCAGAAAUGUUUAUGGCAAAACCAUUCUCAUACUGUUAGAGAACUCUACCAUUAAUUGUGUCAUCUCUGAAAAAUUAAAAGAGUAAUAAACAUCCCACAAAUCAGCCUUAAACUGGCCAAAGUCUAGGAUGCUUUUCCAUUCCUAAUUUAUGCAAUUUUAUCACUACAAUCUAUUUUUUUUGGAAAGCCAAGC